GACGAACGCUGGCGGCGUGCUUAACACAUGCAAGUCGAACGGAAAGGCCCUGCUUGCAGGGUACUCGAGUGGCGAACGGGUGAGUAACACGUGGGUGAUCUGCCCUGCACUUCGGGAUAAGCCUGGGAAACUGGGUCUAAUACCGGAUAGGAGCCAUUUUUAGUGUGAUGGUUGGAAAGUUUUUUCGGUGUAGGAUGAGCUCGCGGCCUAUCAGCUUGUUGGUGGGGUAAUGGCCUACCAAGGCGGCGACGGGUAGCCGGCCUGAGAGGGUGGACGGCCCCAUUGGGACUGAGAUACGGCCCAGACUCCUACGGGAGGCAGCAGUGGGGAAUAUUGCACAAUGGGCGCAAGCCUGAUGCAGCGACGCCGCGUGGGGGAUGACGGCCUUCGGGUUGUAAACUCCUUUCGCUAGGGACGAAGCUUUUUGUGACGGUACCUAGAGAAGAAGCACCGGCUAACUACGUG
rnacentral:rRNA from 1 species